CUUGAGGCGUGCAGAUGACGAAGCUUGAGGCGUGCAGAGAUGACGUAGGGGGAACCGUUUUGGACGUUUGUUUUGUUCGUUAAUCGGAACAUUUUUCUCUUUUGGUUCCAUUGCUCAGAAAGGUUGUUCAAAAGGUCCUGAUACUGCAGGUCCGAAGGAAAACAGCUAAUUGAGAAAAUGCCGCCUCUUGAAACGAAUAUAGCGGUGGAAACAGAAGAGAUAGUAAGGAUUAAGUAUCAUAUCGCACCAGAGCUUAAGGACCUAUGCUUGAUGAUAAAAAGUGCUGUUGUCGGAGCACUUGAAAAGUGUGAGGGAGCUGAGAGAACAGAAAUGUUCAAGUCUGAUGGGGCACAAAAUCGAAUUACUGAAGUGAACGCAAAACGAGAAAUUUUCACAGCAUGCAGGAAAAAAAAAAAAGAAAGAGAAAUCAAGUAAAGAGAAGAAGGAAGACCUCGAUGGCCUGUGGUAAAAUCUACGCGUAAUAGGAAUACCUGAAACAGAGGACAAAGCAAAUGAAGCUGAAACUGUAAUUAAGGAACUAACUGAAGAAAAAUGUUCAGAGUUAAAAAAGAAACUAGAUCUAGAAGUAGAAAAGGCUUGCAGGGUACCAUUAAGUUUAAGUGAAAAGAAAGCAGUACCUAGAUAUAUCCUGCUAGUAUUUUUAAAUUGGAAAGGUAAAGAAAAAAAGUCCACAAGUAUCCCAGAGAAGACAAGCCACUUAUAAAGGGAUGAAAGUUAGCCUGACCUCAUACUUUUCCCUUGCAACUGUAAAUGCCAGAAAACAAUACCUACAGUUUCUGCUCAGAGGCUCAGUCUUAUCCUGCUCUUUACGACCCCAUGGACUAUCAGACUCCUCUGACCGUGGGAUUCUCCCAGCAGGAAUAGUGGAGUGGGGUGCCAUUUUCUCCUCCAGGGGUCUUCCCCACCCCAGGAUGGAACAGGUGUCUCUUUUCCCUCAUUCAUUGGCAGGCGGAUUCUUUACCACCUGGGAAGCCCAUCUAUGGUUUUAAGGGAGAAUAGUUUUGAACCAAUUCAAUAUCCUGACAAGUUAUUUCUGUACCAAGGCAACUGGAAGCAUUCACAGAUAUGCAGAGGCUGAGAAAGUGUAUCUUUUAAGUACUGCCCUUGAAAACUUUGUUAAAUGAUGUACUGCAGCCAACAAAAAACAUGGAUUAAAAUAAUAAGAGUGAGGAGGCAAUAGUAUAAAAAAAUUGGUGGUAAGGUUUAGUUAAACAGCCUUAAGUUUACAGUGUUAGGUAGAAUUAUAAAACUAAAUGCAAAAAUAAAUAUGUGAACUGGGUCUAAAAUUUCAGCUUAUAAGCUUAAAAGGCAUGCUAAAUGUUCAAUAUGUAAAACAAAAACAUACACUUUUAUUUUUAGCAUGUAAAGAUAUGCAUGUUCUUAAGUUAAACAUGUAAAAUAAAAGGACUUUGUCACUGUGGACAGAACCUGUAGAAUAAAGGGAUAUCAAAUGUUAACCUGAGAAAAUGGGAAAACCAAUAGUACAGUCUUGUUUCCUCUAGUUUUAGUUACAGAAGGGGGAAAGUAGCAAACUUGUAAUGCUAAUACUAGUAAAGUGAAAAGAAAAUUUAUAAAUUAUUAACUGGUGUGGUAGUGGAUUGAAACCUUGUUUAAAGUACAUCUUGCCUGUGGAAAAUCAGUACCUACUGCUUUAUGUAGUAGAUCAUUGUAGGUAAAUUUGACAAUAAAUGUUACAAAUAGAGAGUACAUAUUCAAAUUGUAGAGGAAUUGGUGAAAAAGAGCAAGGAAGCAUUAAAAUUGGCAUAAGAUAGAUUGAUACAGGUACUGCUGAGUUACCACACUCAAACUGGUUAAAUGUUCCUAUUUUAAAAGAUUGAAACUGGGUCAAAAAUCAAUCUAUAACCCUGGAUACUCAAAUUUGUAGAAAACAAACUGUAAGAGUUUAAAGAUAAUGAAAACAAUAAGUCAUAGAAAUGCAAGUAGGGAGCAAUAUUUUUAUUAGACAACUCAAGCUAUAACAUAUUUAUAAAAUAUACAGUACAGGUUGUAAUAUUUAGGAUGCUUUAUGUGGUAGAUAACCUGGCAUUCAUUGUAAAAUAAAUGUUCAAUACCUU